rnacentral:ncRNA from 1 species
UGUUACGUGGUGAUUUGGUCGACCGGCUUGCGCCCACGUUAAAAAAAUCGCUAAAAGGUCGGAGCU